GACGAACCGAGCGAACGUUGUUCGGAAUCACUGGGCUUAAAGGGCGCGUAGGCGGGCGGCCGCGUCCGGGGUGAAAUCCCACGGCUCAACCGUGGAACGGCCUCGGAUACGGGCCGCCUCGAGGGGGGUAGGGGCAUGCGGAACUGUGAGUGGAGCGGUGAAAUGCGUUGAUAUUCACAGGAACUCCGGUGGCGAAGGCGGCGUGCCGGACCCCUUCUGACGCUGAGGCGCGAAAGCCAGGGGAGCAAACGGG
rnacentral:rRNA from 1 species